UACCUCCUGGAAAUGGGAAAAGAGUCACCUUGGUUUUGGUGUCAUUCUUAAAUCAGUCAGGGGCAGAUCAGAUGGCAGUCCUUUGUUUAUCUUAGCUUGAUGCCUAGCUUGGUGGCCAAUGCUAUCUUAUGCCUAGGAUUCAUAA